ACCUGGGAUAGCUCAGUUGGUAGAGCAGGAGACUCAUAAUCUCAGGGUUGUGGGUUCAAGCCCCAUGUCAGGCA